CCUACGGGGUGCAGCAGUAGGGAAUAUUGCUCAAUGGGGGUAACCCUGAAGCAGCAACGUCGCGUGGAGGAUGACGGCCUUCGGAUUGUAAACCCCCUUUUUUAGAGAAGAUAAUGGCGCUAUCUAACGCAUAAUCACCGGCUACCGCCGUGACAGCAGCCGCGGUCACCCGGCGGGGGCACGCGUUAAUCGGAAUUACUGGGCGUAAAGAGCGAGUAGGCGGGUUAGCAGGUCAGAUGUGAAAGCCUAUGGCUUAACCAUAGAACUGCAUUUGAAACUGUUAUGCUAGAGUAUGGGAGAGGUAGGUGGAAUUCCUGGUGUAGCGGUGAAAUGCGUAGAGAUCAAGAGGAAUACUCGUGGCGAAGGCGACCUGCUAGAACGUAACUGACGCUGAUGCGCGAAAGCGUGGGGAGCGAACAGGAUUAGAUACCCUAGUAGUC
rnacentral:rRNA from 1 species